UAGACUCCAGCAAAUGUGCUAUCUGGUUUUAUAAAAUAGAAAAUCGGCUAUCUCUUGAUUUUCGAUGACCAUAUACAGUCAAUCACUAACACUAGCUAUCUGAUUUUAUAAAAUAACCAGGCUAUUGUGGACCUCUUCUUUUUUAAGAAGUUUUCUAUUUUAUAAAAUGACUAAACAAUAGAAAAUUUGGCUACUAAAUUUAGCCAAGCUCUUGGAGUUUUUGCUCCGAUAGAAGUAAAUUUACAAAAACCAUUGCACUGACAAGUGACAAGAUUAAGAAUGUUAUAAUGUCCCUUAACUUCAUCACAUAAUAUAAAGAUAAUAAAGAAAACAAUAAAUAAGUGAUUCAACAGAUGUACCAUGCAUUUUUCUAGUCUAGAACUAGAAGAGUUGGACUGGAGGGGUUAGGAAGAAGCAAAGAAGGAAAAGCAGGGGUGGGUGCUCUCAUCCGUUCUUCCACGAGCAGCGAGAGUCUUAGACCAAUAUUCCGGGGAAAAAAAAAAGCAUUGGCGGCCGGCCAAAGGCGGCGCCACGGAGCUCCGUUCGUCGGACCCCCAUGGGCGUGGUGGAGUCGUCGUCAAGCUCGCGCGCGCGUGAUGAGUACUGGCUGUCCCGGCCUUUGCCACGCCCUCCCAGGGACGGAGGAGGGGCGGCGCCGUGUCCUCCCUGGGCUGUCCUCGCCGGUGGACGUGGACGGCGGCGGCGGCGACUUCGUCUCCGUUGUAGUGCUCGUCGAGGCGCAGACCGCGGCCUCGAUGGAGCUACGUGGUAGUGAGCUCCAUGCUCGCUCGCCUUCCCUGCGGCGGCAUGGGCUGCCUUCCAAUGGUGUCCCUGCUGUUGCAUUUAUAGCCUGCCCUGCCCCUGACCCCUGAGAGGAUCGCAUUGGCCGGCGAUGCAUGGAUGCAUGCGGUGAUCGGUCAGGCUUUCGAUGCGGCGGCGUUAUCGGUUAUCCUCGCCGGCUCGGUGCGCGCGGGCGGGCAGUUGCUGACCGGGCAACGAACACGGCAUGGCUGUUGGGUGUUGGCUGAUCCAUCGCUGAUGCGCUUUGUUGGCCGCGGGUUCCAUGGGUGCCGAGUGCCGUUGCAUUGGAGAUCGACUUGCAUGCAACGGCUGAUCGAUCGAGCAACCCUGCAACGCUAUGGCCUAUAUAUGGGCUUUUGUUUAGGGGUGUUUUUUUUGGGGUUGACUAAAGUUUAGUCCUGUUUCAUAUUAAUUAGAAGUACUAAAUAUAGACUAAUUAUAUAACUAAUUAUAUAAAUGAAAACUAAUUCAUGAGAUGAGUCCAUCACGUUUAUGAUUAGCGAAUGUGAUGUUACAGUAAGCAUAUACUAAUUAUAGAAUAAUUAGGUUUAAUAAAUUUAUCUCGUGAUUUAGUCCUAGUUUGUGCAAUUAGUUUUAUAAUAGCCUCAUGUUUAGCAUUCCUAACUAAUAUCUAAACAUUCAAUGUGAUAUGGACUGAAGUUUAUUUCAUAUAUAGAUCCAAAUUUUCGCAUAUGGGAAAUACUUGGUUGAUUUCCACAUACUAAUUGCAGCUGGGAAGCUAUAUGAUAUGUUGUUCGUCAUAUAGUAAGUCAAUAGCGUGUAAGAGUGCAUGACCUAACAUGAAGUUGGUAGAUUACAAUUAUGCAAUAGUGGUCUUGCUUUAAGCUUAACUCUUUUGAUAAGAGCUUCUGCUGAACUAUUUUGAGUAUAAACAUAUGGAACUGAGUGCUGAACUUGAAUUCCUAAAACCAUACAAUAGUCAUUGAAAGUUUUUGAGGAAAAUUAAGUAACAUUAUUCACUCUAGUAGAUUUUUUUUGGUGUUUAGGAUAAUCUUCUUUAAGUCUAAUAACUUGAGCUAUUAGUUUGGCAAAAGUAUAGUUGCACAUGGAUAAGAGACACACGUGAGUCUAUCGUGUAAAUGCACUUAUUAGAACCAUGAAAUAUCUGAAUUGUCUACAUAAUGGAAUAAAUAGGACCACAAAUAUCACCUUAAAUUCUUUCAAAGAACUUAAGUGGUUCAGCUUUGAUCAAUAAGGUGGUCUUAAAAUCAAUUUCCUAGUGGCACAUGCAAUGCAUAUAAAAUCAGAGGAUUGUGGGAACUUAGAAAUAGCUAAGUCCUGAUCAUGGGAAUUGUUUAUAACUUUUGGCAUCAUCCCAUGCAGUGCAUAUAAAACCAGAGGAUUUUGGGAACUUAGAAAUAGUUGAGUCCUGACCAUGGGAAUUGUUUAUAACUUUUGGCAUCAUCCCUAUGCUAUGAUGACCAAGGCGAUCAUGCUAAGUUUGGAAUGUGUUGAUAUUCUAAAAAAAUUAUUUUAUAGGCAACAUGUGUUACGGUUUGAUAUAUGUAUAAUAUAUUCCAGACGGUAAAGGGGAAAUUUUCUCAAAAAUUUGUUUCCAUAUCCCGUAUCUUUGAAGAGAAGAAAUUCCUCUUUAUGUUCUUCAUGUGUCUCCACAUGAACUCUAUUUUUUUGGAUAUCUCUAUAGCUAAGUAAGGUAGAAGUUGAAUCGGGAUAUAAUAAUGCAUCUUUAAUUGUAAUUUGAGUACACAUGGGAAGUGUGAUAGUGGCACAGCUAGAGUCUACUAUCGUUGCAUCACAUCCAACAAUUGUUAGAAUAUUGUUGGUAUUUAUUACGCACUAUAGAAGAAUCAAAGAGAAAUAAUCUGCAAGCGCAUGGAUAUACUGAUGUAGCACUUUAGUCGAAAAAGAUAUCUCGAGUACCGUAUUUUAUCCACAAGAAGAAAGCAUGCGAUGACUAACCAAGACUAAACUUAACCCCAGACUAUCAAACAAGAGAAAUAAAGGGCUAUGGAGAAGAUGUCUACGAAUUCUAGUUCUAACAUGUGGUAAGUUAUGCUAAUAUUAUUCUAGAGGGGACACGCUAGGCCACAGUACUGCAGAGAAUACUCUAACAUAACAUCCAAGUCCUACCGGUCCUUACAAGCAUGAUAGGAAACUAUAAAUUCUUUGGGACGAUUGGGUCACUUUCCACGAACAAUCCUUAUCCGGCGAGUAGGAGGAUAUCUACGUGCAAUUGAGUCUAGACACCGCGUCUACACACGACAUGCAAUUCCAAUCCAAGAGCAACCAAGAAUUGAAAUACUCAAAUGAGUCACAAACUAAAGAACAAUAAUAACAACAGACUUAGUAGUAUUAGAAGUUGAACACCUAAAAAAUCUCAGAAGCAAACCCCACGAAGGAGCUUGAUCCCGCAGGUACAAGCCGAGGAAGGAGACACCGAUAGCUCCGGAGCUUCCUCCACAACUCUUCCCUCCACUCUAUCUCUCUUUAAUUCUAUAAGACUAGCCCUAAUCUCUCUAGAGGACUACAAGGCUAGACUACUCUUGAAUGCUUGGCUCUGAUCCUAACUGGAGAUAAUGAAUUAGGGUUUCCAGGAUGCUUUGCUCCAGGGGCUAGGGCAUUGCUUAGAUAGGCCGAUGGGAUGAACCGUAGCCCUCAGAUCAAACCGACCUUAAUGGACAAAGAUUAUUAAGCCUCAAAGUUGGUUUAUCCUCGAUCCGCGAGCUCUCCCCUAAUUGGUUAUGGGGGAGGGUGGGCGCCCUGCCCUACUGACUGGUGCCCCCCCUUUGAUGUGGAGUCUUCCUGGACCUUCUACAAUCUUCUUUUUCAUACAUGGUGUUUAUAUUCAUUUUGGUCCUAGAUCUUUCUUGGUUAUUUUCCUGUUUAAUCCCUGCAAAACAUGAAUACACCAAAAUUUGUGGAAUUUUUGUCAGAUAAGACCCUGAUUCUACGUUGGUGAUUCCUUUUACGCAUCUUUUGAAGUCUUGUUGGCUAGUAAAAGUAUGAGUUGUGUAACAGGGAUGGCAUUUACCUAUUCUCUAUUUAUCUAGAGCUUGAUGUACAAAUUUCUGACCUAUAUGUAUACAUUGAAUUUCCAUGUGUUCUAGCUCGUCUUUUCUGUAUUGGUUGGAUGUUCACACUACACAUGCUUUGGCUCAAUUAAAUUCCUAGAUAGAGCAAUUAACUAUUUUGCUUUAGUCUAUCACUAGUUCACUACAUGUCACUACUACACAAAAUAUUAUCCGAGACGGGCAAAAUAGAUUUACCAAGGCAGGCAUCGCAACUGCCUCGGACAUAAGGUCAUAGUAAAUAGGGCAUUUUCUGAGGUGGUUUGAUGCCCGCCUCGAUAAAUCAAAAACAAAAAAAAGGAAAAAAGCCUGUGGACAGGCUCGCUGAGCCCAUCCAUGGGCUCGCCGAGCCCAUCCACGAGCUGCCACCACCACUGUCGUUGCUCCUCAUUGUACCUCUCGGCCACCUGCCGAUGGAGCCAUGGAGGGAGGGGAGGAGGACGGAUCCGCAGUCACUGGGCUCCAACCCACUGGAACCAUGGACGUAGCCCACCUCUUCGCUGGAUCUGCGUCAUAGGGAGUGGAGGGAGGAGGUCAAAGCAUGGCCGGUGUUGCCAUGAUAACGGGGUGGAGGAGCGUCGCACGGAGAGGCCGAAUCCGGACACCACGACAUCGGAUCCGGCUACCACACCACCGAAUCCGCGCUCGCCGCCUCUAGAUCCAUGCUUGGGGAUGCCGCCAAGGGGAAGAGCUCGGGGAUGCUGCCACCUCUAGAUCCACGAUGCCGGUGAGGGAGGCUCAGGCUCAAGAGAGGGAGAGGGAGACACGACAGUGCCGCGUGAGCUCGGGCGCUCUGGCUCUAGUGACGAAGAGGGAGAAGGAGGGGGAGGGGAGGCAUUGUUUGUCUGAGUGAGAAAGAGAGGGUGAGUUCUGAGUGAACCCUAGGUUAGAAAUUCAUACUUGAGUGCCUAUCAGGCCUUAGUAUGGGCCUGUUUCGGCUUUGGCCUUUUUUCUGAGGUGGGCAAGUUAGGAGGUCCGCCUCCAAAAAUAGGAGUAUUCCUCCGUUAAUAUAUUUUAGGAGACGGUUUUUUAGUCGUCUUUGUAAAUUGAUUUUGCGAGGCGGUUCAUUGUGACCAUCACGGUUAAUAAAAAGUGGCCGCCUCGAUUAAUCCUAGGCAUUAACCGAGGCGGUUCGUAUUUCUGCCCGCCUCCGAGGCUCAUUUUAAAAUGCCUUGCAAAAGAUUUUUUGUAGUAGUGUGUUUUUCUCUAUUUGUAUGUCCAUAAAAAACUAACGAUGAAAAUGUAAAUGGACAAUGAUUUUUAUUUUUGCUUUAGUCUCGUGUACUGCUAGUUGAAUUGAUAUAUCUCUUGUUUCUUGAUCCUAUUAAAUUAGUGAACUUUGCGGCUUGGUGUACCUGUUAAGCUAGUGAACCUGUUAUAUAUGGAAUAGGCAUGCAAUUGACCUUCUUGUAUUCUUUGUGUAGUGGGUCGUUGAUUUGUUCUAGUGAAAUUUGAGAUGUGCAUGUCCACAUAUCAAUCUAGCCUUGAUGAUGAACCGGUUGGUCACUAGACCCUGAACUGAUACUAUUAGGCUAAGAUCAUGCUAGUUCACCUAUCAGUUUUAUUGAAUGCAAUUUCCUUAGUUCUUUACUGCUAGUUUUUUUUUUAAAAAAAAUUGGCAUUUUUCUCAUCUCUGUCUUUUGCAAUAGUUGUGCCCAUCUUUUUCUUCUCUAUUUCUAUCUGUACAACAGUGACAAUCAUCAGUAUCAUUAGUUCAUGUGUUUCCUUGUUUUCAAAUAGCAUCAGCUGGACAGGGUAAACGGGUAAGGCCCCUACUGUUCCAAUUUAGUUCAGUAGCAGCAGUAAGCAAUUAACUUAGUUCAGAUUUUGUUUUGGCUUGUUAUAUGUUCUUACAGUUGACAUGAAUCAAGGUGGCAGUAGCUACUGCAAUAUAUGUUCUCACUCGUGGAUUCUUGCCUUGUUAAUUGCUUGUGAACUUAGUUAAUUGCAGAAGCUAUAUGUUCUUAACACCUAGCUAAUUGCUUGUGAAUCUACCACCUUGUUAAUUUCUUGUGAAUCUACCUCCUUGUUAACUUGGCACCUUAUUAUUAGCUAUUUGCUCUUAGCAGUUAUAUAUUAACUUAUAGCAGCUAGUUAAUUGCUUGUGAAUCUUACCACCUAGUUAAUUGCCAUAUUUUAACUUAGCAGCUACAUGUUCUUAGCACCAGAUAUAUGUUUAGCACUAAAUUUUUCUCUUGUUACACGUGAAGUCGUGAUCUCAAAAAAAAAAAUUUCUCUUGUUGACACUCCAUGGAAGUACUUAAAUCAACUGGUCAAUUAUUUCUCUCUAUAUAAAGUGUGCAGUUCAAUUUUAGCCAUGGUUUAUGCAGCUCGAUCCUAGCUCCCUGUCUUGUGCUGCCUCAUUUCUCCUAUGCUGAUUUCAAUAUAGAUUAGUUACAUUGUGGAUGUUGUGAAACUAUGACAGCUAGGCUCAAACUCUUCAGUUUGACUAUUCUCUGAGCUUAGUGCACAUCUGCCGAAUGUUGUCUUUUGAUUGGUUAAUUGGAUGCUUUGAAGAUGAUGGUUGAAAUGGAUUUCUUGUAAGGUAGGCAAAUUGUACCUGCUUUUUCAUGGAUAUAUGAAUUUCAUACUUUAUUUGAGUUAUACUAUAAAUUAGCUUGUUUUUAGAGUUUUUAGGUUUGAGAAUUUACCUAUGUUUGGUUUUCUUGUAUUGAUGUUGCUUUAGGUUUGUCCUUGUCUGUAUCCCCCACUUCAUUCUACAUUCAACAAAUAUUAAUAAGUCGUUAGUCAAUACAGUAAUUUAUAUAAGUAACUCUAAAUGUGUUCUUCACAUUUUAUUAGGUUUGUGGCAUCAUAAAUGGUUUUAUGGAUGUUUUUAGGUUGAUUUUAGUUUAAAGAAGAUAAGUAAUUUCCACUAAGAUAAUGCAAAUUUGCUAGGUUAUAAAUGUUUUUUUGACAAAUUAUGAGUGCUUAUGUCGAAUUAGAAGGGAAGUUGUUUUCAAUCUUUAUGUACUGCUUUGAGAGAUUCAUUAGUUGUUGUAGAUUUGAAUGAAUAUGUUGCUUACCUGUGUUUUGUCCCCAUCUUUUUGUAUGUGAAGCUGCCUAGAUCGAUCUGGAGGUUUCUUCCUUCGCUUGAAUCCUAUAGUCAGAUCUGAUUCUUUGGUUGGUACUUCUCCCGAUUUGGAUGCUAUGUAGGCGCAGGUAAGUAUCAUUCUUUCAUUUUGGCCCUUCUAUUUCUUUUAAGAGAUGCUUUUUGACCUUCUUGGAGGGCAAGUCUAUUCUUUUUAUGUUUCACCCCUUCUUCUUUUUCUUUAUUUAAUAAAGAUUCCUCUCUGUUAGGCCUUUUGAUAUAUGCAGUUUUUCAAUUGGGAUUUUUGUGUAUUGAUUCUUAAGGCAUGAAGUCGGUACAUGCGUUUUAAUUUUGGGCUUUUUAAAGUACUAUAAGGCUUGUUGGGUUCAUUCUCUGUUAGUGACUGUUUGGUACUUUAUGUUUUUUAUUGAGCUUUGUUUUGGGCUUAUUGUCCAGUACAUGGCCUGGUAGGACCAUUUUUCUAUGAGUAACCGGUUGGUGCUUGUGCAUUUACUCCCAGCGCGUGAUAUUUAACUAGUCUCACCCUUCCAUCGGUUUUCACUCCAUGUGGUCUUCUUGGAUUUACUCCUAGUGUAUGGAUCGUUUGCCUUCUUUGCUAUUUAGGUCAGUCUCAUUGGAGUUUCAUAGGAGGUUUCAUGCAUAUUUAAGAGAAUGUCACAUCAUCAAACUGCAUGAAACGAGAAGGAGAGAGAAGGAAUUUGUUUCAUUGUCACGAAACGAGUGGGGCGGUGUUUCCAACACCACGAAACGAGAAUCAAACCCGCAUUGAGGAGCUCUGACAUUUCAUCAGAAGAGAUGGAUGAGAGAAAAGAUAGGGAGAGGAAAAGAUAGGGAUGAGAGAAAAAAUAGUAAAAUAAGCUAUGAAAUCGUGCAAUGAAACUUUGCACCGUGAGAGAACCUCAUUUCAUGUCAAUGUUUCAUGUGUUGGAAAUUGAGAGGUGCUCACCAUUGAGACUGGCCUUAUAUGGACGACCAUUUCUAUCUGCCUUUUCAAGUUCUCUUCCUUUCUUUAUAAAUCACUUGGCUUCCUCUCAGAGUUUUCUUGUUGUCUUCUCUAGCCAUCUUCUUCUCUGUGGUUCUCAAUCUUUUCUGGAUCCUGCAUGUAAGUGUUUAGAUGACUAGUAUUUUUUAAAAAAAAUCUAAGAUGUAUUUCUUGUUGGGUUGAUCUCUUCAUUUCUCUCUUUAUUCUAUUCUUGGGGUUGCGGUGUUUUUUAUAUCCUUCAAGUUUCAUUUUCUUAAAAUUACUAGAUUCUUGAAGUAUUUGUUAUUCUUUUUCUAGAUUCAUGUUUAAAAUCUAGGAUGUGCUAUUUCUAUUUAAUGUAUGUACUUGUUGAAGUAUGACACCAUGCAUGGCCACUAGAAGCAUAUUGACAUCUCGUUGAAUGAAUUGAAGACCGUGCCUUUGAUCAAUUUGCACUUGGCAUCUUUGGUAUGAGGUCCUGCUUUUCAUGCCUUCGUUUAUUUUGUGUCAAAGCCGUGAGAUGAUGUUUGAAAUGUUUUUGAUUCUACAAGAAUGUCUGUGAUUUGGAUUAGUUCUUGAUGUUUCGCAGGUAAACUAGAUCUGUUUGAAUCGUUCAUAUAUUUCAUAAAGUUUUUAGAGGUUUUGUGGUCCUGAUGUAUUUUUCGAUCUACUCAUGCCCUUAGUAGACAGAAUCAGUGACAAAUUGAUGGUAUUUAUUACAAUGUCUUGUAUUAGUACUUACAAUUUCAUAUAACUAUAUUUACAACUAGCUCUAUAGUGUAAUUUUAGUGUUAGGUUGUUGUAACCUGGGUGUAUUAUAACAUGGUUUUUGAAACUUCAUGUUAAUCUGUGGAGAAUUGUUCAGUUGUAGUUGUUUGAUUGAAUAAUAGUUUUAAUAUUUGGCUUUGUUUUUUACGGGUCAUUUGAUUUGGAUCAAAGGGUGUGUAAUUCAUAUGAUUUUUUUUUCAUCACCUGAAUUUGGAUCCUAGUUCAAAUCGGUUGAUUUGGCUUUUUGCUCAACUGAAUGAUAGGAUAGACCAAAUCAACCGAAUGAUAGGUAGACAGAUCCUAUAAUAAAACACCCCUCGCCGGAGGGACCGGGCUCUCCACUGAAGCCACUCGGGAGGAUGUCGUUGGAGAGCCGGCCUCUACAAAGGUUAAAGUUCAGGAGCCAGGGCUGUAGUCUGCGGUGGUCUGGCGACGAACUCGACGCUACUAGUCCCAGGCUGCUGGAGCCGCAGCGGUGCCGGAUCUGGUGGUGUUGAAGCCCACCAAGGUCUAGAAGUCAUACGGUGUAAAGCCCUCCCUUGGGCCGGCCGCCAGGGUGAAGGACCCCAGAGUUGGUGGUGGCGGCAGGUGCUAGGUGGACGGGCAUAACUAGUAGAGUUCGCACUGGUGGUGCCUGAGAAGAUCCAAAAGCCUGUGCGAUGCUGGAGGCGAUGACGAGGUGUUGUGUGCGGUUAUUGCCCCGGCCACGAUGAGGAUGACAAUGGUUGUGCCAUCCGUGACGACGAUAACGGCUGAAGAUGUGCCGGUGCUGCAAGCGGUUCUCUGUCAGGCGUACAACACCGACGAGCACUGGAGCGUGGCGGGUGAAGAUGGCAGUCAUGAUUGACAGUGAGUCAAAGUCCAAACUAACCUCUUCGACGGGAGUUCUUUCUUCAUCUUCUCCUCCUCGUUCUAGAGCGGUUGUAAUCGAGAGAAAGAGAAUGAAUCGAACUACACGGUAUAUAUAUCUACCAGAUGUAAGGACGCCAUGGGACCAAGAAUAUCCAUUCGCGCUGAUGUCAGUUCCUCUAAGUAUAAGGGAUAUUUUAUGAUGAUCGCAAGACUGGAUAGGACUUAAUCCACGUCACUAAUCCAUGGGUUAGGAUCCUUGUGUAUGUGAUCACUCUAAUCCUACGGAUUGCUUCUUAGAGCAACUCCAGCCCAGCAUGCAAAUUGGGCCUCUACUUUUUCUAUUUGUAUGUUGGUCUGCAAAAAAUAAGGACCCAAAAUCCAUUGCAACUCUAGCCCAACACCCUAUUUCUCAAAGAAACUGUCCCGUCUGCUCCUACCCCGCACCGUCCGCUCCUACCCCACCCGGGCGCCGCCAGCAUCGGCGCCCGCUCGCCGCGCCGCCUGCAGCCUGCUCCGGCGCCAUGCUCGCACGCCGUCGGCCGCCCACCCUGGCUGUGUGCAGGUGCUGCUAGAGACGCAGAACCUCCGGGUGAAACGCGGAGCCUCCGGGCCAGGGGAAGCGCCUGCUCCGGCGCCCCACCCGCGCCCCGCACAAAGAGGAUGUUGUUGAUGCCGUCCUUGGCGGGGAGGUGGACGAGGAUGCGGCGGAGGAGGUCAUCGGGGCGGCCGCUGAUGUGAUCGGUUCCUCCGUCUUCCUCGGCGACGGCGGUGCUCCUGCUCCUGCACGUCGGCGCGCAGCGGCCCUCGAGCGUGGCCCAGUGUCGCGGCUGCAUGGCGGCUCGGGGCUGGGCAGCGGCGGCGGCGCGGUUCCGCCGUGUGCUACCGCGUGCGGGGUAGGGUGGGGAGGGGGGAAAGUGGGAUGGGUCUCACGAGUAGGGGGCUGCCAGAUCUGGGGGGCUCAAACUAAAAUUUAGGGGGACUUGUAAAAUAAGGGCUCAAGAGUUGAUUUUUUUUGUCAAAAUCUCUAAAAUUAAAUUUAGGAUAGGGAUUCAAUUCAAGUAGGGACCUGGAUUGGAGUUGCUCUUAACCUAUUAGAAGAAGAAGAGGACUAGAGGGAGGGGUUAGGACUGUUUGGUGUAAAAGUGAUGGAUUAUUACUGUUGUGUACAGUAGAUGUUUAUAUACAGAAGACGGUUAAUCUUUGGUGCCGAAAGGGCCUAUCCGAAAGGGCCUGUGCGGUUGUACCCCUCCGAAGGGGUCUGUACAGUUAUACUACCGAUGAUGUAAUUAGCACAUGCUAAUUAUAGAAUUACAAUAAUUGAUCACUAAUUAUUAUCCCUAAUAAUAAUUCUUAACACUCCCCCUUGAUCAAUUGAUCUUGUAUAGGCACCGUUAUUUGUCCGUCAGUAAAAUCUGGAAGCUUUGGAAAAACCCUGUGGGAAAAAUCCAAAGUAUGUUGAUAUACCAGGCAAAACUCCCUAAAACCCAGUGAGAAAAAUAAGGAGAAACACCAUGAUAUAUAUAAAAUCAAUGUUAAUAUACCCUUUAGAUGACCUAAAGACUUAGUCUAAAAACAAUUUGAUCAAAGAUCAAAAUGUCAAAUAUUAUCCUUGAAAAACCUCAAUGAGGAAAAAUAGAUAAUAUGACAAUUACCUUGUGUUACUAUUACCUCAUUAAAAACUUUAUGUGAGAAAGCUCUUAAUAGAGUAAAACUCAUAUAAAGGAAAAAGAGUAUAAUAUAAUGAUGAAGUAGAAUAUCUUUUAGAGAGAUUCUCCCCCUGAUCUUAGCAAAUCUUUAAGCUUUCUCAUACCAAUUCCAUCAACACAUUUCUUGAAUGUGGAGUAUGGUAGAGAUUUUGUGAAAAUAUCUGCUAGAUUAUCACAAGAUUUCGUUUGCAAGAUCUCUAUUUCUCCAUUCUUUUGGAGCUCAUGAGGGUAGAAUAAUUUGGGAAUAAUAUGCUUAGUCAUAUUACUCUUAAUAUAUCCUGACUCCAUCUGAGUAACACAAGCCGAAUUAUCUUCAAAGAUAAUCGUCGGUGUCUCAGCUAUACCAAUACCACAUGAUUGUGUUAUGUGGUGAAUUACUCUGCGAAGCCAUACGCAUUCGUGUGAUGCUUCAUAUAAAAGUAAUUAUUUCAGAGUGAUUGGUAGAGGUGGACGUUAAUGUCUGCUUUGAAGACUUCCAAGAUAUUGCUGUACCACCUUGUAAGAAAACAAAGCCCGCCUGGGAUCUACCAUGAUGUGGAUCUGAUAGAUAACCAGCGUAUGUAUAUCCUAACAAAAUUGUAUCUUGAUUUCUGCUAUAGAAUAAACCAAGAUCUUUUGUGCCAUUAAGGUAUCUAAAUAUCGUUUUGACUCCUACCCAAUGGCGUUUGGUAGGUGCAGCACUAUGUCUUGCCAGCAGAUUUACUUCAAAUGCAAUAUCCGGCCAGGUAUUGUUAGCAAGGUACAUUAGUGCUCCUAUGGCACUGAGAUAUGGGAAAUGUGGUCCCAAUAUCUCUUCAUCCUCUUCCCGAGGUCUGAAUGGAUCCUUUUCUACAUCUAAGGACCUUACUACCAUCGAUGUUUUUGUUGGAUAUGACUUGUCCAUAUUGAAUUUUUCCAAUAUCUUUUGGACAUAGGUAGAUUGGUAUACGAAUAUACCAGAAGGUAAGUGCUCAAGUUGUAUACCCAAGCAAAAUUUGGUUUGACCCAAAUCCUUCAUCUCAAACUCUAUCUUUAAAUGAUGACGUGCUUCAUCAAUAUCGGAUCCAUUGCCGAUAAUAUUGAGGUCAUCAACAUAAACUGAUAUAAUACAGAAUCCAGUUGAUGACUUCUUAAUGAAGACACAAGGGCAGUCAUCAUUAUUUGUGUAUCCCUUUAGCUUAAGGAAUUCACUUAACCGAUUGUACCACAUUCGGCCUGACUACCUUAAGCCAUAUAAUGACUUCUGCAACUUUACGCAAUACAUAUUGCGAUUUGCCUUAGGGUUCGGUAUACUGAUUCCAUCUGGAACCUUCAUGUAUAUAUUCGAAUCUAAUGACCCAUAUAAAUAUGCGGUCACGACGUCCAUCAACUGCAUAGAUAGACGAUUUUGUACUGCCAAUGCUAUUAAGUAUCGGAAUGUUAUUCCGCUCAUUACCGGAGAGUAAGUUUCGUUGAAAUCAACGCCAGGUCUUUGCGUAAAACCUUGUGCCACUAGCCUUGCUUUAUAUCUCACCACUUUGUUGUUUUCGUUCCUUUUGCUGACAAAAACCCAUUUGUAUCCCACAGGGAAGAUACCAGGAGGUGUUGGCAUUACAGCCGAAAACACUUCCCUUUUAUAAAGCGAGGCAAUCUCUGUUUGAAUUGCUAUCUUCCAGUUAUCCCACUCUGAGCGCUUUUUGCACUCAGCCAUGGACUUGGGAUCUGUAUCAGUUUGGAUGAUAUUUGCAAUUUCUUCAGAGAAAUAAAUGUCGACAAUUAUGGACUUAGGAUUGUAAGAUUCUCCAGUCUCAGCGAAAUUUAUAGAAAUUUCGUCUACCCUUAAAGAUUCAUCAUGAUUUUCCAAGAUGAUGGAUCGAGGGUUUUCAGUUGUUCCAGCCUCAGUGUUUAUGCGCAUAACUGAGCUAGUUGGCGGACAAUAUGUGUCCUUUAGGUGUCUUUGCUUGUCAAUAAUCAGAUCCUGUUUCUUGGAAGUGCUUCUCCCCCUCUUUUUACCAAAUUGGGGUUGAGUGGUUUUAUUAGGUACCUCCACUCGUUCAAGCACAUUCCUUGUAGGAUGUAGAGAUUUAGUGACACCUUUGUGAUCAAUGAAAGCGUCUGGCAGAUUAUUUGCAAUAUUUUGUAAAUCAAUGAUUCUUUGAACUUGUAGUUCAGUUUCUGUAGUACAUGGAUCAGUAAAUGAGAUGCCUUUAGCAUCCCAAUCUAUUUCCUGGCAUUCUUUUUGGUACAAUUCUCCCCCUAAUGCCGGGAAAUGAUCCUCAUUGAAAAUACUAUCAGCAAACCGGGCAGUAAAUAGAUCCCCUGUAAGAGGUUCUAAGUACUUAAUAAUUGACGGAGAUGAGUAUCUAAUAUAGAUACCCAAUUUACUGUGUGGGCCCAUUGAUGUUCGUUGAGGUGGUGAGAUGGGUACGUAUACAGCGCACCCAAACUUACGCAAAUGGGAAAUACUCGGAGGAUUCCCACGUACUAAUUGCAUUGGGGAGGUUUCGUGAUAUGUAGUUGGUCGUAGUUGGAUUAGGUCUGCAGCGUGCAGGACUGCAUGACCCCAACAUGAGGUAGGCAAUUUGCAAUUCAUUAAUAAUGGUCGUGCAAUUAGCUUGAUUCUUUUAAUCAACAAUUCAGCCAAACCAUUUUGUGUAUAGACGUAGGGAACUGAAUGCUGGACCUGAAUUCCCAAUGCCAUGCAAUAAUCAUUGAAAGCACGGGAUGAGAAUUCAGCAGCAUUGUCCAUUCGAAUUGAUUGAAUCCGAUGUUCAGGAUAAUGAGCUUUCAACUUAAUGAGUUGAGCCAUUAUUUUGGCAAAAGCAUGGUUGCGUGUGGAUAAAAGACACACGUAAGACCAUCUAGUGGAUGCGUCUAUUAAAACCAUGAAAUACCUGAACGGCCCCGAUAAUGGUUGAAUCGGACCACAAAUAUCUCCUUGAAUUCGUCCAAGGAAUUUAAGUGGUUCAGCUCGUAUUUUAAGAUGUGAUGGUCUUAAAAUUAAUUUCUCCGUAGCACAAGCAGUGCAGCAAAAAUCUUUAUUUUAGGGAAAUCUUGCUUUUUCCAUGUCAUGACCAGUAGAAUUGCUAAUAAUUUUCCUCAUCAUCCCUAUCCCAGGAUGCCCAAGUCGAUCAUGCCAGUUACGGAAUGUAUCGACAUCUCAGAAAACUAUUUUGUAGGCAAUAUGUUCUACAGGUUUUAUGUAUGUGAAAUACAAUCCAUGUUGGAGUGAAGAAAUCUUUUCGCAAAUUCGUUUGCCAAAUGCCGUAAGUUUGGUAAAGAGAAGAUAUUCCUCUUUACUGUCUUCAUGUGUUUCCACAUGAAAACCAUUCUUACGGAUGUCUCUAAAACUUAGAAGGGUACGAGUUGAUUCGGGAUACAACAAUGCAUCAUCUAUCGUAAUCUGUGUACCCAUUGGGAGAGUAAUAGUGGCUCGUCCAGAACCAACUAUUAACGCAUCAUGACCAGCAAUAGUCAAGAUGUUUCCUUCUCUUUUCUUAAGAGUUUGGAAAUAUUUAAUUUCUCUAAGUAUAGAAUUUGUGGCCCCUGAGUCCACAAUACAUAAUUCUUCCUCCAGUGGAUUGAGUUCAUCAGACAUCUAUAUGUAUAGUAAAGAAAAUAAAUACUAUAAAUGAAUCAAACAAGUAUAUAAUAAUAUAUUGAAUAUCAAGUAUGAUAUGUUACAAUAUGAAAAACUUGAUACAAACUUGAUCUAACAAAACAAGUAUGUACAAUUCACAAGCACACAAAAUAUAAGAUAUGUCUUAGACUAAUUACAACACUAUAUAUAUAGGGAUAUAUAUAUAUCUAUUAUGAUAUCAAGUUCCAGACUAUGAGAUUAUUCUAAAUCUCCAAACAUGUCUCCAGAUUCGAAAUCUAUGAGCAUGGUGUCUGUCGAUGGCAUUUUCUCUUCAAUAUUGAGAGAUUUACUACGAGUUUGUUCCUUAGGGGCUAUUUUGGAACAACUCGCUUCCUUGUUAGCCUCAGUUGCAAGAUUGAAGUGUGCUUCAUAUUUCUUAUCUCCUGCAGGCUUAGCCUCUUUUAAGGACUUUUGGUACAAAGCAACUAAAUGCUUUGGGGUACAACAAUUCUUGGCCAAAUGCAAAAAAUCUCCACAUCUAUGACACUUGUUGUUAUUUUUGGGAGCUUUUGCAUUGUCCUUGUUCUUCUUGUUGUGAUUAAACCUUUGCUUUUUGUUGAAUUUGUGUUUACCAAAUUUGUUCUUCAGAAACUUUCCUUUGAACUUAUUCUUAGGCUUUUCCUGUACAUUAUGAAUCUUAGGUAGAGGCGCUGAACCAACAGGGCACUUAUGAUGAUUCUUUAAAAGAAGUUCAUCAUGUUUUUCUGCCUGAGUUAAUGUAUGGAUAAGCUGAGAAUAUGCUUGGUAAUUAUGAGCCCUGUAUUGCUGUUGCAAUACUCUAUCAGAUGGGAGCAUGGUAGAGAGUGUUUUCUCUAUCUUGUCUUUAUCUAAUGGCUCUUUUUCGCAAAACUUCAACUUAGAGCAAAUUUUAUAAACAGCAUGGUUAUAAUCUGCCACAGAUUUGAAAUCUUGGAGGGCUAAAACAGUCUAUCCAUUUAUUUAUUUACUACUACUACUGAAAGAAAUAAGAAAGAAAAGAAAGAAAAAAAUUAGCCAUGGGGGUGGCCUAACAGCCGGCCAGGCGCGGCCCAGCCGAGGCCAGGGCGCGGCCCAGCCGGCUGAGUGGCCCGCCAAGGAGCCGCUGCAGUAUAAAAGCCUACGGUUAGGGUUGGAACCCUAACUGCCCAGCCCAACUGCCUGGCCGCCGCCCCCAGCCGCCGGCGCGCCGCCGCCAUCUGCCCCUGCCGCCGCCGCCCGACCGCCUGCGCCGCGCCAACCGCCUUCGCCGCGUAUUGUCCUCUGCGAGCCGGAGGCGGCGGAGCCUCCCCCCCCCAACCGACCCCACCGCCGGCGUUUAGGAGCGGCCGGUCGCCUCCUCCUUCACUGAGGAGGAGACAAAACCAGCGCCGAGGGCGCUUCGGUGUCCAUCACGGUGUGCAGCCGUGACGGCGGCGUAGGAGCGGCCUCGGGUCGAUGGUGGCCUGAUCGGAGAGAGCGCCGGCGGGCUUGGAGGAAGGUUGAGUGCGACGUUGAAGGUCGGCCACCGGCGUUCAGUCCGGUGGUGAGGUGGCGGCGAAGGGGAAUACGGUGCUGGCCAAUGUCCCUGAGGACGCGGUGGAUGGCGCCCUGGAGGAAGAACCUGCGGACUCCUCCAAGGUGGCUGUUGCCACGGGCGAUGGCUGCCUCAACGGCGUCGGUGACCGCGUCGACCAUGGCAUUCAUGGAGAGGAGUGGAGGGGUCGUCAUCUUCUACCUCUCCGGUGAGUCUCCGGUGGAACUCCGGUGAACUCUUUCUCGGCCUUUUUAGCGUCAGCGAGGGCAGAACUUCGUGUUGAUAACAUGUUUGGUGUAAAAGUGAUGGAUAAGACGGUUAAUCUUUGGUGCGAAAGGGCCUAUCCGAAAGGGCCUGUGCGGUUGUAUCCCUAGGGUUUAGGGUUUAGGGUUUCCGAAGUGUCUGUACAGUUAUACUAUCGAUGAUGUAAUUAGCACAUGCUAAUUACAGAAUUACAAUAAUUGAUCACUAAUUAUUAUCCCUAAUAAUAAUUCUUAACAAGGACUUACGGAGAAACAAAGAAGGAGGUGGGCCGGGUGCUCUCGGCCAAUCCGACCGGGUGCUCUCGGCCAAUCCGAAUAAGCAUUGGCGGCCGGCCGUUCGUCGGGCCCCCGCCGGCUCGUUGCUGAGUAGAGGAGCAGAUCGACUGCUCCUCGAUGGAGCUAUUCGCUCGCCUUGCCGGCGGCGGCAUGGGCUGCCUUUGCGUCGAUCGUGCCCCUGCCGUCGUAUUUAUAGCCUGAAGAGGAUCGCAACGGGCGCGCAUGGAUGAUGCGGUGAUCGGUCAGGCUUUCGAUGCGGUGGCGUUUUCAUCCUCGCCGGCCGGCUCGGUGCGCGCGGCCGCCGGGCGGUUGCUGACCCGGGCAAAACGAACACGGGCAUGCAUAUGGCUGUUGGCUGAUCGAUCGCUGAUGCGCUUUGUUGACCUGGUUCCAUGCUUGCCGAGUUGCCGUUGCAUUUCAUCCACUUGCAUGCAACGGCCGAUCGAUACGAUCGAGCAACGCUAUGGCAUAUGGGUAAUGGCAUCUUUGGAUGUAGUUAGAUUUACUUUAAUUUAUGUGUUGGUGUAGGUUGUGGUAGAAUUUAGUUCAAGUUUCACUCUAAUCUACCUCAACACAUAUGGAUUGAUGUGCUGACUACAUCAAACAAAACCUUAGUUGAUUCAUUUUUUUUCCUCUGAAUUAUGCUACAGACUCCGGCGGCUUAGGGCACUUUCAAUGCAAAAACCAUCGUAGUCUAGACAUUAAUUAUAGUAACAUCUAAGGAUUUUACUAUAUGGUAAGAGAUUUAUUGAAAAAAGAGAGCAAAAAUAUAGAAACUGAGUCUAAGUUAGAAACCAUGUCUACACAAAAUUCAAGACAUGAAGUGAUAUGAUUGGUUAAGAAUUAAGAGAGAAUGAAUGUGAUUGGGUAAAAAAUAUUCUAUAGAAAACAAGAAAAUUUGCUAAGUGUCAUAUACUUUGUUGAGUGUCAAAUGUCGGUCACUCGGCAAAAAGGCUCUUUGCUGAGUGUUGCACUCGGCAAAGUAUGACACUCAGCAUAUAUUGGCACUCGGCACAGAGCCUCUUUACCGAGUGCCAGACACUCGACAAAGGUUGACCCUCGGCAAUGGUUGACAGUGGUGUCGAGUGCCUUAGUCUGACACUCGGCAAAGAGAAUAUUUUUUGCCUCCAAACUUUUUCUACUGUCUUUACACUUUUAUUUUGAAGUGCAUGUUCAAAUUUGGCACAGUUCUCGAAACAUUUUCUAUAUAUCUUUCAUUUUUUUCAUUUAGACGUAUUUUCUCUGAAAAUACAAUAUUGAAUUGCAUGUGCAUUGAAUCAUAGAAUUCGAUGAUUGGAAAAAUGGUAUUCAAGAUACUUAUUGUAGUUUGAGGCCUUUUUCAGGAGCACGCUCGAAAUUUCAAAAGUAUUAUACACGAAACAUGGCGACAAAGUUGCGGAAGAAAUGCAUUUUAAUUAUAUAAAUUGCAAAUGAAGUCUGAAAAUUUUAAAACCUGGCGAAAUGUCUUUACAUCAUAUGUGGACCCUAUGAAAAAAAUUAGAGAAUUUUUUGCAAAAGUUAUCACGUACGUUAGUUAUAAACCUACACUUGUCUUUGUCGAGUUCGCGAUAAAAGGCACUCAACAAAGAACCAUUUACCGAUAAAAAAUUUGUCGAGGGCCCUUUGCCGAGUGUAAUUGUGUCUUUGCUGAGUGCCUACGACACUCGGCAAAGCAGCUAUUUCCUGUAGUGUUUCAUAUGUAAAAUUAUUUUAUUAUAUCUUUAUUGGCACAAAACAGCUCGCAAGCAAAACUAUAGAAGAAGUUGUCGCUAUAGAUGGCCAUGCAGCUCGAGGCACGACGACUCAGCCCACAGCACGACAUUUUGGCCCAGUCCGAGCACGGCCCAGCCCGGCAACUUAUGGGCCUGGGCCGGUGGUGUGGGCCAUGCUUAGGCUGACCUCUGAGCCCGCGGGCUGGCCCGAGUUUUAGGGGUCGGCCCGGCAACGGCCCGGGGCCACCUCCGCGGGCAUUGCAUAAUCAACUCAUUUUUAUGUUAUAUAUCUUUUGAUGUCAUUUCUAUGAUCUAAGAGUGAGGUUGUGAAUCUGAGAAGUUGAGAGUUGUAAAAAAUUGAUUGUGGCAUUAUGCUGGUGAAGUGACCAUUGUCAUUCUGUCAUUGUGUGGUUAUUUUAAUUUUUUUUUUACAAAAACAGGCUAUGGGCCGGCCCGGCUCGUCGGGCUAUGCGGGCCGGCACGACACAAAGUCAGUCCGUGGGCCCGUGCUUGGACCGAAGGCUAGGCACGCAGGCUGCUGAGGCACGACACGACACGACAGACACGCAGGCCAAGUUAGCACGACACGCUACGGCCUGGGCCGGGCCGGCUCGGCCCGACCCGAUGGCCAUCUAUAGUUGUCGCUCGUCUUUCCAACAUCAUUUCACAGUUUGGAAACGUAGAGAGCUUGAAGUACUGCUACAACAAGACUACAAGAGUAGAAAAUAGAUAGAAGACAACAGAUAUACUACCUCCGUCUUAAAAUAAAUCAAUUUAUAAAAAUUAUCCAAAGUCAAAAUAUCUUAUUUACCCAAUUUUAUAGAAAAGGAAGGUAACAUCUAUGACCCCAAAUAAAUAUACUAAGAAAAUAUAUUUCAUGAUACAUAUCUAGUGAUACUAAUUUAAUAUUAUAAAUAUAUAUAAAUUUCCUUAUAAAGACGAUUAUUUUUAAAAUAGUUUGACUUAAGACAAUUUUAAAAGUUGAUUUAAUUUGAGGCUGAGAGGAUAUCGGAUAUAUAUAAAACGAUCUUAAAGUUUAACCUUUGCGCAAUGAAAAUAUUGGGUAAAUUAUCGGUAUAUAAAUUGAUAGUUUUAUUUUAGAUGAUAAUUUCUAGAACCUGAGAAUCUAUGCAAGUUUUUUCUUUUGAUGAUGUCAAAUACUAAGAUAAUACAGUAGUGUCGUGUCGAUCCCUGUCAGGUUGUCACCAUGUGCUACGUUACCCUGUGGAAGGGCAUGGCCGCAUGGUGACACGAUGCCAAGUACAGUGAUUGACUCCACGGCCGGCCAAGACACUGACUGCUUCAAGGUCAAGUCAACCGUCCAGGCAAUGUGCAACAGAAUUUGGCCCGUGUUUACUUUCUGAGCGAAAAAUUUUAUGGCACUGUAGCAUUUUUGUUUGUUUAUGAAAAUUAUUGUCCAAUCAUGGACUAAUUAGGCUCAAAAGAUUCGUCUCGUAAAUUUCGACCAAAUUGUAUAAUUAGUUUUUAUUUUCAUCUAUAUUUAAUACUCCAUGCAUGCGUCUAAAGAUUCGAUGUAACGGAGAAUCUUGAAAAAUUUUGUGUUUUUAGGUGGAAGUAAACAAAGCCUGGCCUGCCGUGUAAUCGCCGGCGUUUUCAUUGCCGUGGCUUGACCUCUUUUAUCGCCAUUGCCGACCAAUCACUCCACAGGAUUGGUGCUGCAGAAAUGGUGUCCUCAGUCGGAGUGUUGAGGCUGCUACCAUGGCUGGCACUGGCAGCGGUGCUUCUGCCACCUCCACCUGCGGCGUCGCAGCAGCCGCCGGCGAGGGGAUGCCGGCAGCAGUGCGGCAACGUGACCGUCCCCUACCCGUUCGGCAUCGGCGCGGGCUGCCACCGCGGCGCGCCCACGGGGGGCUUCCGGCUCCAGUGCGACGACGCCGGCGCCGGCGUCGGCCGCGGACACCCGCCGCGGCUCACCGUGUCCGGCUACGGCCACGAGGUCGCCGCCAUCUCGCUGGCGACGGCCGAGGCCACCGUGCUCCUCAACGCCAGCCGCGCGUGCUACGACCGCCCGGGCGACGCCGACGGCUGCGUCGUCAGCCUCCGGGAGCAACCCAUGGCGCUCAACGGCAGCGCGUUCCUCUUCUCGUCGAUGAAGAGCAAGUUCGUGUCCAUCGGCUGCCCCGGCAUCGCCUACUUCAACGACGGCGACGGGUACUACGUCACGGGGUGCAUGUCCGUGUGCCGGCCGUCGGACCGCGCGCUGCCGGGGUCGUGCCGCGGCGACGACGGCUGCUGCCAGAGCAACAUCCCGCUCGGGCUCAACUCCUACCGCCCCUACCUCGGCAGCUUCGGCCGCCGGCGCCGCGGCCGGAGACGAGACCAGGAAGCGACGUUCCUGGCCAACUCCACCGCCUGCUCCUACGCGUUCAUGGUGGACGCGAUGUGGUUCUGGCUCGCCGGGUCGCACUUCAACCGCACCGGCGACUUCGUC
rnacentral:lncRNA from 1 species